UACGGUGAAUACGUUCCCGGACCUUGUACACACCGCCCGUCAAGCCAUGGAAGCUGGGUGUACCUAAAGUCGGUAACCGCAAGGAGCCGCCUAGGGUAAAACUAGUAACUGGGGCU
rnacentral:rRNA from 1 species